UUGCUAUAGGGAACAAAUUAGAAAAAAGACUUGCUACAGUGGAUCUUCUACCCCUCAUUUGUUUUUCUCAUUGCCAACCCUAGUAUUGUACUUAUUCAUCCAUUGGACAAGUGGGAAUUUGGAAUAGUAUAAGAGUUGGGUGUUCCGCAGAAUUGAAAUUGAAAUUGAAAUGUGGAUAUAUCUAGUCCUGCUCUGAUUCAUCCAUUCAAAAAUCAAUGUUGAUAAUGAAUAAAAAGUCAAAGUAUAAUUGGAUCUGAUUGUAGGAAUGGAGCAAUAGUUGUAUCUGCUGUUGAAUUGUCACAAUAUUUGAGCAGCCACAAGUACAAAGAUGGAGAAAACCUUAAUACCAAACUAGCGAUGUUUUCAAGAGGAUAUUAUUCUAGGCUCCAUGUGUUUUGUUUCGGCUUAAGUGAAUAGCUCACUAAGUACUUUCAUUUUUCAUUAAUACUCAUUACUACUAUUCUCACUCAAUGCAUAUGCAGCCGGAUACCUGGCUCUCAUAACUACUCCUAUUCUUGGAGUUAUUUGUUACUGCCAUGGUUCCACAUAGGUCUAUUUCUAGGUUUUGUCAGCAUUCUGGUUUAUCUCAUGUUAAUCCAGCCAAUGGUGUUCUAAUGGACACUGGUGUCACAAUAGCUCAUUGGCCGAAGCUCUUCUUCCAAAAACUAGGGAUUAAGACUACUGAAGAUCAUGGUGGAUGGGACUGGCCAUUUCCAGUGAGUACUAGUUCGGCAGAGUUUUAUCCUUCCCUUUCUUAAUGUAUCUCCAAAUGUUGAGCUGUCCGGCACAUUUGGAGCUUCAAAUGGAUCUAGACAGUCAUGGAGCAAUAUGUCUAUUUCAAAGAACCCUCAGCCUCCGCCAUUGUCAAACUUAAAUGGGAUACAAGACCUGGGAAAUGGAUCUUCAUUUGUUUCAGAUUAUAUUGGUUCAAAUUCUAAGGACACAAGAUCUCAAAAUUUCAAAAUCGCUUGGUAUCAGCAGUUCACUGUUGCAAAUGGAUGGAAGUAGUGUCUUCUCGAGUGUUGAGUUGAGACUUGGGCAUCCAUCCCAGCAAAGCAAAAAGUUGGGAAGUUUAGCUACACAAACUUUUGAGUAUCAUUACAUUGUCAAACCAAUAAAAUAUCAACAACCAUUGUUUCCAGAGCCCCUUAUGCAUAAAGGUCUGGUAUAAUUUGUGAAUUGAUCCCUUUUGUUCUUGAUAUCUCUUCAAGCUUACACCUGUUAGUGUCACACAACUGUUGAAUCACAGGCAGUGGAAGAAAGCAAGUCAAAUUUUCAUAUGUUGAAUUUGAGUUCAAGAAGUGGAAUGUGCCAGCCAGACCUUGUCAAGUCUGCCUAUGAACUCCACACUGCAACAAGUCAAUCCAGAACUAGAAAUUCUAUAUUUCCUGUGGUACAAGCAUAGGUCAAGGUUUCUUCAGAAGGACUACUGUACUCUUAAGAUAUCAAAAAUAUGGUUUAUGGAAGUCAUACUCCAUCCGGAGAACCUCAGUGUAAAUCCCUUACUCUAAAGUGCAACCAAAUUGAUUUUCAUUGUGCUAGCGGUAUGAUGACUAAUAAGGAAUUUAAUGUUGACGCUUCAUGUGCUCUUGUACGUUAGAACAAUGAUAAAGUUGUGGCCAACAAUAUUGUUAAUUUACACAGUGCUGCUGAGUUGAACUUUGGACUCUACUCCAAGAAUUACAAAAAUAGAAGGACUGUUAAGAGAAUUGUGGAAGGGAUUAGUCAUACCAAUCACUUGGCCUUACAUGAGAACUGUUAGGAUCGAAUUCACGUUCACACACUAGAUGAAUGAAGAACACAAGAACUUUCAAGAGAAAGAGAUGAGAGAUCUAGAGAGAGAAAGAGAAAACCCAAUAUUUCGUGGUAACACUCCGUGAGUAAACUUCCACGGCGAUGAGAUAUACUUAUUAAUAAAUCAGAGUAUUUUUGGUUACAGAGAAUAAAUAGGAAAGCCUAAAAUUUAGUUCGGCGCGCUGCCCCA